GAAUAGACUUACGAAUAAUUAAGAAGGUUACCCCCACUAAACCUGCAGAAAAUGAAAUAGAAUUGGGAUUGAAAUCCCUAGCCUUUCCCUUUGGUGAUUUCACUCGGUCCGGCGAUGAGGGGCGUCGGCUUCAGCUUGCAGAGGAGGCGGCAAAGACGACUCAAGCAAGGAGGCUAGCUGUCCACAGCAACCAUGCACCAAGACGUCUUGGAUGGCCAACAACCAAGAGCACGGCGGCUCCGGUUCAAGCGAGGAGGCUGGAGUUAAGGAGAACCGGUGAUGGGUUCUCUCUUCUCAAUGGUGGCAGUACUACGGGAUGGAGAAGAUGACUGUGCCGCAGGUUCUCUUCAACGGUGAUAGCGGUGGCGAGAAGCCCCAAUGGUGGUUCUGCCGUGAUGAGGUGCUUCGAGUCCGGUGCUUCCGGCGAUGAUAAGGGGAAAUGGUACCAAAGGGUAUGUGGCACUGUUCUGAUAUUAGGACUUGAGCGGUUGUAGGUUCAAGAGCAAGGUUUGACGUGUAUCUAUAGUUCUCCAGCAUCUCCCGCAAAGAUGGCUCAGUCACACUUAAGAAUCUCAACUUUGUUUCCAGAAACUUCUCAAAGACCAUUUUGAACUUAUUAGAACUCAAUCCCAUCCCGUCUAUGACUCAUGAGCUGGGGAAAGAAGACUUUUUAUGUUGCCUGUCAUGGGCUCAAAGAAAUGUGUGUGAAAGAUGAACAACACAUUAUGUUUAAUAAUUGUCAACGUUUUGAAAAGACUUUUUUAUUGAUUCAUUGGCCUUACUACACUUUAUAAUCUAGAUUUAAUAAUGGAUUGGAAUCAACUAGCUUGUUUUGUUGACAAGAUAUUGGUGACCUUUCAUUUGUU